rnacentral:rRNA from 1 species
CAGCCGCCCGGUAAUACGGAGGGUGCAAGCGUUAAUCGGAAUUACUGGGCGUAAAGCGCACGCAGGCGGUCUGUCAAGUCAGAUGUGAAAUCCCCGGGCUUAACCUGGGAACUGCAUUUGUGACUGUAUAGCUAGAGUACGGCAGAGGGGGAUGGAAUUCCGCGUGUAGCGGUGAAAUGCGUAGAUAUAGGAAGGAACACCAGUGGCGAAGGCGACCACCUGGACUGAUACUGACACUGAGGUGCGAAAGCGUGGGGAGCAAACAGGAUUAGAUACCCCUGUAGUCCCUGUCUCUUAUACA